ACUAGUAUAAUUUAAUUGUGCUUUGUUUUUUCAUUGGUUUUCAGAUGGCGUAAGAACACAUCACUGGAUUACUUUUGAAAGACAAAACUAGAUAAAAUUGUAUAUUUAUAAAUAUUACCACUAUAUAUUUCAGACUAUUGUUCGAUUGAUGGUAAAAAAAAAUGUUUAUUGAUCAUUGAGCAGACGUAAAGCAGGAAAUUGCGGGAACAAUCCUAGCAGACGACAGUAGUCGCGCAGAUGCAAUCAUGCACCAUAUCAGACUGCCCGAAAUUACAGGCUGGCCUAGCUCUAUACCGGACUCGCUUUCAGCAGGAAGCAGACGACAAUGAAUUUUAAAGUGGAAAUUUGCGACUUCAGGUGUGUCUGCUACUCGAUGUUGUGAUUUCAGUUAUUUCCCCUGACGUUCAGUAUAAUGAAAUGAGGGUCGAGUUUCAGGAUUUGAAAUUAGAAAAGAACGAAAGAUAUGAAAUGAGCACUGGCAAACUGAUCUUGGCAUGUUACAUCCUUAUCACAGAACUGGAACCUACUGAUUAAGAUGAGGUAGCAGACGACGAUAAAUUUGAAAGUGGAAAUUUGCAACUUCCGGUGUGUCUGCUACUCGAUGUUGUGACCUGACGUUCAGUAUAAGAAAUGAGUGUCGAGUUUCAGGAUUUGAAAUUAGGAACGAACGAAAGAUGUGAAAUGAGCACCGGCAAACUGAUCUUGGCAUGUUACAUCCUUAUCACAGAACUGGAACCUACUGAUUAAGAUGAGUGUAUCCACAGGUAGCAGACGACAAUAAAUUUUAAAGUGGAAAUUUGCAACUUCCGGUGUGUCUGCUACUCGAUGUUGUGUUCUCAGUUACUUCCCCUGACGUUCAGUAUAUGAAAUGAGG